rnacentral:ncRNA from 20 species
AGCAGAGUAAGAGUAUGUGCGUUAAGUGCCAGUUGGACGGGGAGUUGCCAGUCGGACGAAAAGCAAAAUUGCUUGCGGUACAUACUCUGCAUCCCGCUGCU